rnacentral:rRNA from 1 species
GACGAACGCUGGCGGCGUGCUUAACACAUGCAAGUCGAACGGAAAGGCCCUGCUUUUGCGGGGUGCUCGAGUGGCGAACGGGUGAGUAACACGUGAGUAACCUGCCCCUGACUUUGGGAUAACUUCAGGAAACAGGGGCUAAUACCGGAUAGGAGCUCCUGCUGCAUGGUGGGGGUUGGAAAGUUUCGGCGGUUGGGGAUGGACUCGCGGCUUAUCAGCUUGUUGGUGGAGUAGUGGCUUACCAAGGCUUUGACGGGUAGCCGGCCUGAGAGGGUGAACGGCCACAUUGGGACUGAGAGACGGCCCAGACUCCUACGGGAGGCAGCAGUGGGGAAUAUUGCGGAAUGGGCGGAAGCCUGAUGCAGCAACGCCGCGUGCGGGAUGACGUCCUUCGGGUUGUGAACCGCUUUCGCCGGUGACGAAGCGUGAGUGACGGUAAUGGGUAAAGAAGCACCGGCUAACUACGUG